GGGGGGAAGGGGAAAUGGGAAAGCACAACAGUAAUAAGACUGCGCGCUUAGGGCGGAUUGGGGGUCCAAAAAUUCCCGGAGCGAAGGGUUAAAACAGUAGACAGGAGGCCCGGGAGGGAGGGAGGGAGAGCAGCCCCCUAGGAAGUGCCCUAUGUACGGACCACGUAGGGUUCUUGUUUGGAGUCUAGGUGCACUAAGAGAUGGUUCGGUUUUGUCGCUGUGGCUCCGCAGCCAUUACCCUAGUCAGUAGGGCCGGCCGAGAGUGCUGAGGGGCGGCGGGUGUUAUGUUCCAAGCAAACAUGCUAGCAAGCAACAUACCAAAAAAGCCUACAUGUACGGUGGUUAUGGUGUGUUACCAGCUCGCUGCAGCACUUUUCCCACGUAAGGUGCCGGCACCACUAGCAGCAGCAGGUGGUUUGUAUG
rnacentral:lncRNA from 1 species